GCAGAGAAUUCAGAGAAACAACAGGUAGUGUGAUCAGUACAGACUGGAUUAUAUACAUUUGCAUGUUGCAUAUGCAUUUGCAUAUUUGGCUCCUUUUCGCCAGUUAUUGCAUAUUUUAACUAAAAACUAUUGACGAUGCAUAUUUUCGCUCUAUGAUUACAAUAUUUUAAAAACUUAGACAGGCGGUCUAUAGCUCGAUCUAGUUUUGAUAUCUCACAGAGUGACAGCUACCUAGAACUGCGUGCAUUCGCUGAGAGGCCACUGCCUAGCAAAAUCAUUAUAGAAGCCCCCGCUCCACUGUCAUACUGUACGCAUCGGCAACAAUUAAAUUAAACUACGCAAGCUUUUAGUCGCAUGUCCAUAGUUUCAGUUUAGCUUUCUAUUUACUUGUACACUGUUGAACAUGUUUAUGACGUGUAGUGUGUAACGUGUUGUGCGCCAUGCCAUCCAGAAAAAGAAACGUCGUUUCCUGCGUAGCUGGCCAUCCUGGAACAUGUACGUAUGACAGAAUUGUCUUAUAUUGUCGAGUUUGUGAGAAAAAUGUUUCGUGCAAAAAAAGUUUCAAAUAGAUCAUGUUAAGACAAGUUUUCCUAUCCCAGGAAUGCAGAAGAAAGGACCACGACAACAACUUCUUGACAACAGCAAGUUGCAGUAGCAGGGAUUUGCCCAAAGUUGACGAAACUGCAGACACUUGUGGCCAUUACACUGCAAAUUUAAUUGUUGGUGCUUCAAAAGAAGAGCCUUCUUGUUCCUAUUUAGUGGCCUGCGAAGAACUUGAAAAAAUGCUGCUCCCUAUAUGAUCAAAGCAGGAAAAGCCCUCCGAGUA